rnacentral:rRNA from 1 species
UACGUAGGGUGCAAGCGUUGUCCGGAAUUAUUGGGCGUAAAGAGCUCGUAGGCGGCCUGUCGCGUCGGAUGUGAAAAUCCAAGGCUCAACCUUGGACCUGCAUUCGAUACGGGCAGGCUAGAGUUCGGUAGGGGAGACUGGAAUUCCUGGUGUAGCGGUGAAAUGCGCAGAUAUCAGGAGGAACACCGAUGGCGAAGGCAGUGGUCUGGGCCGGUACUGACGCUGAGACGCGAAAGCGUGGGGAGCAAACAGG